rnacentral:rRNA from 1 species
AUGGCCGGUGGUUUCGACCAGUGGUUCAUUUCUACAGGUUGCGUGGUGCAGGUCUCCAUGUCGGGUGGGCGGGCUGUAGAUGUUUCCUCUCCUGUCGGUCCUCUUGAUGUGCUCCGGCCAGAUGCCGUGGUGGGGGUGUGGCUGUUAUUCCUCUUCCUUAUCCGGCAGCGCCGGCGAAAGGACGACGUGGUGCUGGACAGACUCCCUUCCCCUUCCUCCUCUGUGGAUAUUUCUUUCCUUUCUUCCUUCCUUACUGAGUUCAGCAGUUUUGUACGGAAGCUGGGCUCCGGCUCUCUUCUACCUCAGCUCCAACAUUUUGUUCAUGGGUGCGCUUAUACUAAACAAAAUUAA